rnacentral:rRNA from 1 species
GACGUAGGGCGCGAGCGUUGUCCGGAUUUAUUGGGCGUAAAGAGCUCGUAGGCGGCUUGUUGCGUCGACUGUGAAAACCCGCGGCUUAACUGCGGGCUUGCAGUUGAUACGGGCAGGCUAGAGUUCGGUAGGGAGACUGGAAUUCCUGGUGUAGCGGUGAAAUGCGCAGAUAUCAGGAGGAACACCGGUGGCGAAGGCGGGUCUCUGGGCCGAUACUGACGCUGAGGAGCGAAAGCGUGGGGAGCGAACAGG